rnacentral:rRNA from 1 species
CCUACGGGUGGCAGCAGUGAGGAAUAUUGGUCAAUGGCCGGAAGGCUGAACCAGCCAUGCCGCGUGAAGGUCAGUGCCCUAUGGGCGUUAAACUUCUUUUGUGCGGGAGCAAUAAUGGUCACGUGUGGCCAGACGAGAGUACCGUACGAAUAAGCAUCGGCUAACUCCGUGCCAGCAGCCGCGGUAAUACGGGGGAUGCAAGCGUUAUCCGGAUUUAUUGGGUUUAAAGGGUGCGUAGGCUGUUAGGUAAGUCAUCGGUGAAAUGCCCCCGCUCAACGGGGUGAAGUGCCAUUGAUACUGCCUGGCUGGAAUGCGGAUGCCGUGGGAGGAAUGUGUGGUGUAGCGGUGAAAUGCAUAGAUAUCACACAGAACACCGAUUGCGAAGGCAUCUCACGAAUCCGCGAUUGACGCUGAUGCACGAAAGCGUGGGUAUCAAACAGGAUUAGAUACCCCAGUAGUC